rnacentral:rRNA from 1 species
ACGGGAGGCAGCAGUGGGGAAUAUUGGACAAUGGGGGGAACCCUGAUCCAGCGACGCCGCGUGAGUGAAGAAGUAUUUCGGUAUGUAAAGCUCUAUCAGCAGGGAAGAAAAUGACGGUACCUGACUAAGAAGCCCCGGCUAACUACGUGCCAGCAGCCGCGGUAAUACGUAGGGGGCAAGCGUUAUCCGGAUUUACUGGGUGUAAAGGGAGCGUAGACGGCAAUGCAAGUCUGAAGUGAAAUCCCGCGGCUCAACUGCGGAGCUGCUUUGGAAACUGCAUAGCUGGAGUGUCGGAGAGGUGAGUGGAAUUCCCAGUGUAGCGGUGAAAUGCGUAGAUAUUAGGAGGAACACCAGUGGCGAAGGCGGCUUACUGGACGAUUACUGACGCUGAGGCUCGAAAGCGUGGGGAGCAAACAGGAUUAGAUACCCUGGUA